rnacentral:rRNA from 1 species
GUGCACGCUGGCGGUAGGCCUAACACCUGCAAGUCGAACGGCAGCACAGUAAGAGCUUGCUCUUACGGGUGGCGAGUGGCGGACGGGUGAGGAAUACAUCGGAAUCUACUUUUUCGUGGGGGAUAACGUAGGGAAACUUACGCUAAUACCGCAUACGACCUACGGGUGAAAGCAGGGGAUCUUCGGACCUUGCGCGAUUGAAUGAGCCGAUGUCGGAUUAGCUAGUUGGCGGGGUAAGGGCCCACCAAGGCGACGAUCCGUAGCUGGUCUGAGAGGAUGAUCAGCCACACUGGAACUGAGACACGGUCCAGACUCCUACGGGAGGCAGCAGUGGGGAAUAUUGGACAAUGGGCGCAAGCCUGAUCCAGCCAUACCGCGUGGGUGAAGAAGGCCUUCGGGUUGUAAAGCCCUUUUGUUGGGAAAGAAAAGCAGCAGGUUAAUACCCCGCUGUCCUGACGGUACCCAAAGAAUAAGCACCGGCUAACUUCGUG